AUUGAACGCUGGCGGCAGGCCUAACACAUGCAAGUCGAGCGAGCGGCGGACGGGUGAGUAAUGUAUGGGGACUGCCCGAUAGAGGGGGAUAACUACUGGAAACGGUGGCUAAUACCGCAUACUAUCGGAUAACCCAUAUGUGAUUAGCUAGUAGGUGGGGUAAAGGCUAACCUAGGCGACGAUCUCUAGCUGGUCUGAGAGGAUGAUCUGGCAAACUUGAACUGAGAAACGGCCCAGGCUCCUACGGAGGCAGCCGGGGAGAAGAUGGCACAGUGGGUGAAAGCCUGAUGCAUGCAAGCCGCGUGUGUGAAGAAGUACUGAAGGUUGUAUAGUACUUUCAGCGGGGAGGCGUUACCCGUAGAAGAAGCACCGGCUAACUCCGUGCCAGCAGCCGCGGUAAUAC
rnacentral:rRNA from 1 species